rnacentral:lncRNA from 1 species
ACAAUGGCUCACAAAACAAGCGAUAGCAGGAUGGCUUAGUACCUUCUGCUGAGGAGCCCAACUGAUAAUUUUUCCAUGGCUGUCUUCAAAUUCAUUUAGGUUCGAUUCUUGGGUACUGGUUCCUGGACGAACCACCCAAAGAAAAGGUUUGUUUGUUAGUUUAAGUCCAAGUGCCAAUUCUUGAAGUUGAGAUUGGUCAAAAAUGGUGAAACUGCCAAAUGCUACAUAUAUCACUGACUGGGAAGGCUGUUGAUCAAGCCAUUUUAGGCACGAGGAGUCCUCCGGCCAGAACUGUGCUCCUGAAUUCCCUGUAUCGUAGCCUGCUAAUAAUGGGCCAAUUGGGAGGAGCUUUGGAGCAAAAGAAAAUACCUCAGCCUCAAGUUCAUGAAUUGAGUUGCAUAGCUGCCAUUCUAUCAAUUGUGAAUCUUCCAUUACUCUUUCAAUGUAUUUGAAAAAACCCUUUUGUGAGUAGGCGUUGCCAAUUUUCCAUGCCAAGUUAUCAGUGUCAAAAAUAGGACCGCUUGGGGAUAUUUGAAUCAUUUGUUUCUUGAUUGAAUAUCCUGUAAAUGAAUCAAAAGAAAAAUGCAUGCAGAGUACGAGUAGUAACUUUACGUGGAAUAUCAACGACAUCAAGACUUUCUUGUGCUUAAAGAAUAAUAAUAACAAUAAAAGCAAGGGAAGGACUUACCGUCACUGUCGAUACAUCCAUCUCGAAUAAGAUUAGGAAUGCUGGCUAAUUGGCCAAAAAUGGCAGCUGAUGCAGGCCAGAACAUUGCAACUUGGAUCCCUAAUUUGUCAGCAACUUCUCUUGCCCACCCCAUACAUCCAUCAACUACAAUACAAGUGAUGGGAUGAUUCUUGUUGAUGUCUUCUAUGAGAUCCUGAAGCUUUUUGGGCAUGGUGAUCAACAUGGCCUCGCAUAACUUGCCAAUGUCAGUUCUAUCAUCCUCAGGAUCCAUCCCAUCUGGGAUUGAGACCAAAUUAACACAUGAGCCUGUAGGAUCGCUUCUGCCACCCAUUGCACUAAGCACUCUCCUGAGGUUAAAGUCUGUAUUGACAAAAGUGACUUUGGAUCCAAGGUUGGCUAUUCUCCGAGCAAAGUGCAUUAAGGGGUUAACAUGUCCUUGGGCUGGAAAUGGUAGCAGUAGAACAUGUGAAUUUCGCAUUUUCCUUUUUGCGGUUUGAGAAACAGAGCAGAGAAAAUGCGGAAUCUUAUCUUCCUCCGUUGGCAACGAGGCAAAGGAGUGGCUAAUAAUUUAUUGGCUGCAAGGGCAAAGGAUUAAACAGAAAUUGUAGAAUAUAACGGUAAUACCGACCAGGAUUUCCUGGUUGGUCUAUUAAUAAAUUAUUUGUAUUUUGACACGUAUGUUAAAAAAAUAAAAAAAUAUAUUAAUUUUUAUUAUAUUUUGUUUUUCUCUUUCUUAUUAAUAAAUCACUACUAUAUUAUAAGUCUAAAUGGCCCACUGUUAUUUAUAACUUGAAAUAAGUAAUGGUAAUUAAAUAGUUUUAUUUUAAAAAAAUUGGAAUGGAUUCGGAUCAAUUCAUAUUCAUUUACCACCGAAUUAAAUAUGUGAAUACGAUAAUCAAUAAUUUUAUUAUAAUCAUUAAUUAUGAUAGGAUUAUAAAUAUUAUGAUUAAUAUCUAACUAUGUUUUGUGUUUUACAUAUAAUAUAAUAAUUUUUCAUAAGAAUAAAAUUUUUAAUUAAUCAGAAGAGGAGAAGAAACCUUCAAUCAGGUCUCUUAAUAAGUAUUUUCACAAGUACAUAAAAUCGUUAAAAUAAUAAAAUGAUGGGUAGAGUUUUCGAAUAAUUGGUUUUUAAAUAUAAAAAAUAUAUGUAAUUCUAAUGUUAUUUAAGUUAUCAAAUUAAAUUUUGAAUUAAGGAGAGAACUCUAAUCUAAUUCUUGAAAAUGGCACAAUUUAAUGAUAAAGAUGGAUACAGGCUUUUUCUUCAACAAGGGAAAUAAAGCAGAUAAAUAUAUUAUAAUUAAUAUUUAUUAUUUAUAGUUAUUUCCCACGAGUUUUCAUAUUUUAAUAAUAUCAAAUAAUUUUUUUAAAUUUCCAUACUAUUAAAUCUAUCUUUCUCAACAUAGAUAACUAAUAAUCAUUCAUUAAAAUGGCUACUAUAUUAUAGGAGAGCUAAUAAAAUAUAAAUAUAAAAUACAAAUAAAAGCUAAAUUUACAUAAUUAGAGAGCUAAAUAAAAUUAAAAUAAGAAUAAAUUUGAGAGAAUAAAAAAAUUAAAAGGAAAAAUGUAUAUAAAAAAUGAAAAAUGCCCUUUGAGACAUCAUGCUGUAAAGGUGAGCGGUGGGUAAAUUUUCCAUUGAGGUAUGAGUUUGUUGCUUCAAUAACAUCAGUUUAUUUGAGGGAUAUAGAGAUGAAAAACAAAAAGAACAAGAGAAAACUUGAAAUGAACACCAAAGGAAAUGAGAAGUUAAAUGUGUUGGAAGGUUUUUUUCUUUUUCUUUUUUCUUCUAUAUUAUAUCAAUCUCAUUUACAAAGUUGAACAUAAAUAUACAGAGUAUAUGAGAGAUAUUAAAAAAAAACUAUUUUAGCUAUAAAUAAAAUAUAAGGCUAAGAAUGUGUUGUGUUCCAUGAAAGAAAGGAUUUUAAUAUGCUCCUAUAAUUUCUCUACUAAAAACUGAUUUGAUAGCUCACGUCAACACUUUUCCUCAAGUUGAUGCAUAUAUGUUUUCGAUACCCAGCUUGUCAAGUUGUAAAAAAUUUUACUCGUCUUUGUGAUGAUAUCUAGUUGGUCUUCAGAUUUAAUAAAAGAGAAACAAAUUAUUUUUUUCUUCAAGAUUCAUCUUGACGAAGUGUCAACCCACCUCUACAUAUUUGUUAUGAUCAUGUUAAAUAUGAUUUGCCCCACCUCUACAUGUUUGGUGUGAUUAUGUUGAACAGGAUUGUAAUUGUUGCCUUGUUGUCACAAAAGAGCCUUUUGUCAUUCCUUGGAACUCAACUUCAACACUAGAUAAUGCUACUAUCUUCUAUUUCUUGCUUCUUCAAGUAACCACAUUGCUUUCUACAAAUGUAAAAUAGCCUGAGUGGACUUUCUAUCAGAAGUAUUGUCUGUCCAAUCUGCAUCCGUGUGACCAUCAAUACUCAUAUGAUUAUUCUUUGUGAACAUAAUUCCUUUUCCAUGAGAGACUUUAGAUAGCAAAGAAUUUGAAUCACUGCAUCCAUAUGACUUUCACUUGGGCAAUGCAUGACUUGGCUUACAAAGGCAUUUCUUUCAUAUAUUGAUUUUUCUAAAAAAAAAUAAAAAAAAUCUUGGAUUGUCAUAAUUCUGUGGCGGUAAACAUUUUUGGUAAGUGGUCCUUUGAUUUGUUUACUCCAAAAGUCGGACAUUAUAGCUAAAAUAUGGAGGAUGCGUUCGCUGAUGAACCCUGAUAAGGCUCUCACCGAAGGCUUUGAAGCUAUAGCUUCAAUAGCAGAUGGUCUAAGCAUCACUCUGGUUGAACGAAAAUCUCUGAGAGGCAGGAGCCUAAACGUUGUAUUGGCUGCUUGCUUGUUCAUUGCCUGCAGAGAGUAAAUCUCCGAGGACGUUAAGGGAGAUAAGUAGGGCCACAGCUGGGGUUUCAGGGAAGGAAAAUAAAAUAGAAGAACAGGGGCUAUAAAGAAGCAUGUGGAGAUUGAUACUGGGACUUUGCAUGCUAGUGAACUUGUUAGACGGUUCUGUUCUAAUCAUGGCAUGAAAAAUCAAGCAAUGAAGUCUGUUAAGAAGCUCUUGAAAACUCCAAAGAUAUUGAUGAGGAACAAAAAUCCACCUUGGUCUUGGCAGCCAUUAUUCAUAUAAUCGCUCAGCUUUCAACCACUUGCAUUGCAUAUCACUGAUUUUAGAAAAGGACACAGAAAAUUUACCAAUCAUAAUCUUUCUUCAAUCAUUACAAAUGGAACUAUCCUUGAAUUGACAUUUCUUUUGUGUUCUUGAUGGAUUUAACUGAAGGUAGUAAGGAUUUGCAGACAUUGCAAUGGCUGUUGAACUUGAAGUUGCAGAAGAAAAAAUCAAGAAGGCAUAUAAAGAUAUGCAUGCUUCAAAGCUCAUAGACAGUUGGUACCCUAAGGAGGUGAACAUCCACAAGCUGAUCUGCCAUCCUUCAAUUUGAGGUGCCAAGCAAAGCAGUAUAAAAAGUUGCAUAGUUGAGGAUCAUUUGUAAUUUCAAAUCACUGUAAUUGAAUAGGGAUUUGGCUGGUUGAAGGAUUUGUUCAAUCAUAAGCUAGAUUUAAUGAUUCUUGUCUUUCGAUUAGACUCUUGCUAACAUCUCUGAAAAAAACAAAAGAAGAAAAAAACUCCCAGCUGCUUUUCUCAAUAAGUAAAAUCUUCAGCUCCAUAUUAUUUAGGUAUGAAAAUUCGAAACUAAAUUUAUCAUAUAAUUAUUGAGUUUAGCCACUGAACUAAGUCCUAAGCAAGAGUAUAUUAAUGAAUAUUUAUAUUUUUUUAUAUAUAUUUUUAUUGACCAUAAAUAAAGCAGCACUUAUGUUAUUUCUAUUUUUUUUACAGUUAUAUUGUACAAUAAUUAUUGUGAUAAUUGAUAAGGAGAAAGGAAAGUACUUGAGAAUGAUUAGUUAAUAUGUAAAAGAGAGAAAAAGAGAAAAAAAUGAGAUAGUUGAAGUCUAUGAAUGGUAUUUCUGAUACUCUAAUUAUAAAAAUAUAGUUUGAGUUUAAGAAUAAGUGUGUUAGAAUGUAUAUCUCAAACUCUAUGUAUGUUUUGUUUUUUAUAUUGUAAUAAGUUGACAAAUUUUUUAAAAAUUCUUGAUAAUGAUUGUAGAUAGGAGAUAUUGCAAUUAUAAAUGUAAUAAAAAUUUACUGAAUUUUAUUUUCUAACGGUAAGACUACAUCGGCUCGAAAGGAUAAAUUUUUUGUAGUUCUAAGUAUCAAUAGCUAUGAUAUCCGAAAUUCUUCUCUUUUAUAUGAAGCUUCUGUGAUCGAAUAUUAUAACCAGUGUGUCUUGUCACGUGAUCUAAUCAUCAUAUAUUUUAGAUGAAUAUUAUAUUACAUCAAAAAAUUUAUUUUAUUUAUAAUUUAAUAUAAAUUAUUUUUAAAUUUUAAUAUUCUAUAUAUUUUUUAUCAAAAUAAUUUAUAAUAGUUUUUAUGAAAUUUUUAUUUAUUAAAAUCUCUAACUAUAAUAGUCUCACUUCAAUACUUUAUUUAAUUUUUACAUAUUAAAUUUAUUUUUUCAAUAAAACUGCAUUUAUAUAACUUUUUGCAACCUAUUUUCUAUGAAACAUCAAUUGGUUAAUAUAUAGUUAAAAUAUGUCAUCACUCUAAAGGAUAAACAAAUGAGAAAUAUUAAUAAAAUAUAAAAAUAUCAUAUAUAAAUAAUACUAAAAUUUGUAAUACUCAAAUUUAAUUAAAUAAAUAUUAGUUACAAAUUUUAGGCUAAUAUUAUAAUAAUUAAUUAUAUGGGUUAUAAUAUGUAUUAACCUUAACAAGGUGAGCUUAAAUGAAUUUUAAACAAUUUUACAAAGCUAAAUAAAAUAAUUUAAAGUGAUACUUGGAGGGAAAAAAUCAUAUAUAAAAAUCUAUUAAUUAGUAUUUUUGUUAAAAUAAAUAGUUAAAUAUUUUUUAAAAAAUUUAAAAUAUUCCUAACAUAAAAAAUAAAAUAGUAAAUUUUUUAAAAUGUUAAAAAAGCAACUAAUGAUUUAUUUAAAACCAUAAAAACUAAUUAUUUAACUUGUAAAAUUAAUCGACUAUCUAAUUUUAGAUAGUAAAAUCAAUUUACAGACCCUCAUCUGAAAAUUUUAAAUAAAAAUAUUUAGAAUCUCAGUUAUUAAUUAGAUUUAAUAUAAAUUAAUUUUAUCAUACCUAAUAAAAUUAUUCCUUAAACUUAUAUUGUGUUUUUUUUUUUUUUAGGACAAGAAUAUGUACAGAUAUAAUUUCUAUUUUAAUACCUCUAAGAGCGAAAUGGGAUAGAAGCUAAGGGAUUAUUUGGUUUAAAUAAAGAUUGAUUUUUUUAAUAUAAAAAUAAUUUUAAAUUUUUAUGGAAUUUUAUACCAUGAAUUUAUGUAAAAAUAUAUUAAUACUAUUUAUUUGUUAAUAUGAUAGAUUUCUAUAAAAUGAUUCGUUUAUAAAAAAAUAAGUACCAUUUUUAAAAAAUACAAAAUAUAAUCUGUCCAUCUACUUGAACCAUUGGAUAAAUUUGAGUUUUGUAUUUUUAGAAGGAAAAAUAUAUUUUUUAUCUGAUAAAUUUAACAUAAAUGUAAUUUUAUUUAAUAUAUUAAUUAAGAAUCAUAUUGUAAAAUUUUAUAAUAUAAUUAUAAAUAUAAAAUAUUAUAUUAUAUUAUUAAAUAAUAAUUCUCGGCAGAUCAAAUAAGUAACUAGUUUAUUUAAACUUAACCCAAUUAAAAUUGGGAUAAUUCAAUUAAAAAUUUCAAAAUUUCUAAAAAAUGAUAAUUAUUUUUGUUUGGUUAACUUUUUUUCAUAAUUUUCUAAAAAAAAAAAAAUAUUUUUUUUCUUUUUUCAUAAACAACAUUUAAACUAAAUAAAAAUUUAAUUAAUUAUUAAACUUUGAGCUGCGUUUUACUGUGAGUUAUAUAUAUUAUUUUAUAUAAAAAUCUAAAAUAUUCUAUAUUUGUGUUGUAAAAAAUAUAAAAUAUAAAGAGAUUAAUUAAUAAAUAAUUUAUAAAUUUGAAUAAUUAAUUAAUAAAUUUUUUAAAUUAUAAAAAUUAAAUAGUAAUGAAAGAGGUUAAUUAUUAUACUUUAAAAUAUUAAAGAUGUUUUUUUAUAUUUUUAAUUAAUAUUUUUUUAUAAUAUAAAAAUUAAAUAAUAAUUUUAUAACAUGAAUUAUAAUAAGGGCAGACAGGAGCCUUACACAUUUAUUAUUGAUUUGAAAUUAAGUGCUCAACUCAUUAAAGAGCUUGUCUAGACAUUGGCAGUUGGCAGUGGGCACUGGGCAGAGCUCCUAUGCCGCGUGGAGAAGCGUUAGAGGAAAAGCAUUAAAGACACAAUAUACUCAGCAUCCCACGUGCCAAUAACUGUAAUUUACACAAGCAAUACUUUAAUUUAACAUACAAAUUUUAUUUUAUAACAUAAAAUUCUUUCAUUUUCUAUUUAAAUAAAAUAAAACAAAUUUCAUCUCUAAUAAAAAAGUUUUAAAUUAAUUUAUUGAUGAGACAUUGAUUAAAAUAACUUAUAUAUAUUUGUCUGUAUUACUUAAUUAAUAUUUUAAUUUUCUUAAUAAAUAAUUAUUUGAUUUUUUUUUUUCAAAUGAGACGCAAAAUGACAAUGACUAACAAGAAAAAGAAAGAAAACAAAUAAAGCCGAAGACACAAAUAACUCCUGAAAGUUGCAGAUGCCAAACCCACAUCAGAGGCAAAUCCCCCAUUUUUAUAUUUUAUUUAUAAACUAAUAAAUUGAAAAAAAAUAAACUAAUAAAUUUUGUACAUAACAUGAAUAUUAAUAUUAGUAUGAAUUUAAUGUAUUUUUUUUUAUUUAGAUGGUUUUAGAUUUUGGAGCUUUUACUAUGAAUUUCAAGCUCUUGUAUACUUAAGACUUGUAUUUGUAGGUCAUGUAUUAAUUUUUCCUUAUCAAUGUAAACAUUUAGUUUAUUUUUAAUUUAAUAAGUAUUAGUAAAAUUAAUAAAUUUGUACAGAAAAUACCGACUUACUAUUAUAUUAUUUAAAAUAAUUCCUUAUAAUUAUGGAUUUAACAUAUCAAAUAUAAAGUUAUUUUCAUUAUAAUUUUUAGGAAACAUAUACAAAUAUGAUUAUAAGAAUUCUUAUAUUUACGUAAAUUAUUUAUUUAAUAGAUAAAAACAUCACUUAAUGUUUAUUAAUAUUGAAAGUAAAAUUAAAAUAAGAUUCACUCAAACAUAGCAUAGCAACAAAUACUACAUAAUUCAAAUGCCAGUUCAAUAGUCAUAGUCCUUCCACAGAGACUCCUUGAAAAGAUGACAUCUCCCCCAACCUAGGCAUCCACCCACUUGAUGAAGUUGCUAAAAUUUGUGGAGGACUGACCACCUUCUCCGAUAUUAUUUUCAGCAAUUUGCUUCAGCUCCAAGGCCUUUUUUCUUAUAAUUUUAUCCCCAAGCAAUAGCUCCACCUUUUGUUUAAAUUCCUCCUUUGUUAUGAUUCCUUUUUCAUCCUUCUCUAACCCCAAACCAAUCUUCCAUACAUCACAAAUGUAGCUCUUGUUAGCAAACUGGUCAGCAAAGUAAGGCCAACACAAGAAAGGGAUUCCAUUGCUCACGCCUUCUAUGGUAGAGUUCCAGCCACAAUGGCUCACAAAACAAGCAAUAGCAGGAUGGCUUAGUACCUUCCUCUGAGGAGCCCAACUGAUAAUUUUUCCAUGUCUCCCUUCAAAUUCAUUUAGGUUCAAUUCUUGGGUACUGGUUCCUGGACGAACCACCCAAAGGAAAGGCUUGCUUGUCAGUUUAAGUCCAAGUGCCAAUUCUUGAAGUUGAGAUUGGUCAAAAAUGGUCAAACUGCCAAAUGCUACAUAUAUCACUGACUGGGAAGGCUUUUGAUCAAGCCAUUUUAGGCACGAGGAGUCCUCCGGCCAGAACUGUGCUCCUGAAUUCCCUGUAUCGUAGCCUGCUAAAGAUGGGCCAAUUGGGAGGAGCUUUGGAACCGAAGAAAAUACUUCAGCCUCAAGUUCAUGAAAUGAGUUGCAUAGCUGCCAUUCUAUCAAUUGUUAAUCUUCCAUUGCUCCUUCAAUAUAUUUGAAAAGGGCCCUUUGUCUGUACGAGUUGCCAAUUUUCCAUGUCAAGUUAUCAGUGUAAAAAAUAGGGCCGCUUGGGGACAUUUGAAUCAUUUGAUUCUUGAUUGAAUAUCCUGUAAAUGAAUCAAAAGGAAAAUGCAUGCAGAGUAUUAGUAGUGAAUUUAUGUGGAAUAUCAACAACGCCAAGACUUUCUUGUGAUUAAGGAAUAAUAAUAACAAUAAAAGCAAGGGAAGAACUUACCGUCACUGUCGAUAUAUCCAUCUCGAAUAAGAUUAGGAAUGCUGACUAAUUGGCGAAAAAUGGCAGCUGAUGCAGGCCAGAACAUUGCAACUCGGAUCCCCAAUUUGUCAGCAACUUCUCUUGCCCACCCCAUACAUCCAUCAACUACAAUACAAGUGAUAGGAUGAUUCUUGUUGAUGUCUUCUAUGAGAUCCUGAAGCUUUUUGGGCAUGGUGAUCAACAUGGCCUCGCAUAACUUGCCAAUGUCAGUUCUGUCAUCCUCAGGAUCCAUCCCAUCUGGGAUUGAGACCAAAUUAACACAUGAGCCUGUAGGAUCGCUUCUGCCACCCAUUGCACUAAGCACUCUCCUGAGGUUAAAGUCUGUAUUGACAAAAGUGACUUUGGAUCCAAGGUUGGCUAUUCUCCGAGCAAAGUGCAUUAAGGGGUUAACAUGUCCUUGGGCUGGAAAUGGUAGCAGUAGAACAUGUGAAUUUCGCAUUUUCCUUUUUGCGGUUUGAGAAACAGAGCAGAGAAAAUGCGGAAUCUUAUCUUCCUCCGUUGGCAACGAGCAAAGGAGUGGCUAAUAAUUUAUUGGCUGCAAGGGCAAAGGAUUAAACAGAAAUUGUAGAAUAUAACGGUAAUACCGACCUGGAUUUCCUGGUUGGUCUAUUAAUAAAUUAUUUGUAUUUUGACACGUAUAUUAAAAAAAUAAAAAAAUAUAUUAAUUUUUAUUAUAUUUUAUUUUUCUCUUUCUUAUUAAUAAAUCACUACUAUAUUAGAAAUCUAAAGGGCCACUGUUAUUUAUAACUUAAAAUAAGUAAUAGUAAUUAAAUUGUUUUGUUUUUAAAAACAUUGGGAUUGGGAUUGGGAUUCAGAUUGAUUUAUAUGUACUUACCACCGAAUUAAAUCUGUGAGUUAUAUAACCAAUAAUUUUAUUAUAAUCAUUAAUUAUAAUGAAUUAUAAAUACUAUAAUUAAUAUCUAACUAUAUGUUUUAUGUUUUACAUAUAAUAUAAUAAUUUUUCAUAAUUCAAUUAAUGGGAAGAGGAGAAGAAACCUCCCAUUAAAACCGAAACACACCUAUUAAAAAUCUAAUAAAAUAAAAUAAGAAUUAGGUUUCUUAAAACAGAACAUACACCAAUUAAAAAUCUAACAAAAUAAAAUAAGAAUCAGAUCUUUUAAAACAGAACACACCGAUCAAAAAUCUAAUAAAAUAAAAUAAGAAUCAGAUCUGUUGAUAAGUAUUUUCACAAGCACAUGAAAUCGUUUAAAUAAUAAAGUGAUGAGUAGAGUUGUCAAAUAAUUGAUUUUUAAAUAUAAAAAAUAUAUGUAAUUCUAAUGUUAUUUAAGUUAUCAAAUUAAAUUUUGAAUUAAGGAGAGAACUCUAAUCUAAUUCUUGAAAAUGGCACAAUUUAAUGAUAAAGAUGGAUACAGGCUUUUUCUUCAACAAGGGAAAUAAAGCAGAUAAAUAUAUUAUAAUUAAUAUUUAUUAUUUAUAGUUAUUUCCCACGAGUUUUCAUAUUUUAAUAAAAUCAAAUAAUUUUUUUAAAUUUCCAUACUAUUAAAUCUAUCUUUCUCAACAUAGAUAACUAAUAAUCAUUCAUUAAAAUGGCUACUAUAUUAUAGGAGAGCUAAUAAAAUAUAAAUAUAAAAUACAAAUAAGAGCUAAAUUUACAUAAUUAGAGAGCUAAAUAAAAUUAAAAUAAGAAUAAAUUUGAGAGAAUAAAAAAAUUAAAAGGAAAAAUGUAUAUAAAAAAUGAAAAAUGCCCUUUGAGACAUCAUGCUGUAAAGGUGAGCGGUGGGUAAAUUUUCCAUUGAGGUAUGAGUUUGUUGCUUCAAUAACAUCAGUUUAUUUGAGGGAUAUAGAGAUGAAAAACAAAAAGAACAAGAGAAAACUUGAAAUGAACACCAAAGGAAAUGAGAAGUUAAAUGUGUUGGAAGGUUUUUUUUUCCUUUUUUUUCUAUAUUAUAUCAAUCUCAUUUACAAAAUUGAAUAUAAAUAUACAGAGUAUAUGAGAGACAUUAAAAAAACUAUUUUAGCUAUAAACAAAAUCUAAGGCUAAGAAUGUGUUGUGUUCUAUGAAAAAAAGGAUUUUAAUCUGCUCUUAUAAUUUCUCCACUAAAAACUGAUUUGACAGCUUAUACCAACACUCUUCCUCAAGUUGAUACAUAAUGUUUUGGAUGUCCAACUUGUCAAGUAAGUUGUAAAAAGUUUUACUCAGAUACAGUUUUUGUGAUGAUAUCUGCUAGUUGGUCUUCAGAUUUAAUAAAAGAGAAACAAAUUAUUUUUUUCUUCAAGAUUCUUCUUGAUGAAGUGUCAACCCCCUCUACAUAUUUGGUAUGAUCAUGUUAAACAGGAUUCGACCCACCUCUAUAUGUUUGGUGUGAUCAUGUUGAACAGGAUUGUAAGAGAUAUCAAUUGUUGUCUUGUUGUCACAAAAGAAAUUUAUCUCAGAGUCAGUAGCAAAACCAAUCUCAGUCAAUAAUCUUUUUAGCCAUAGAAGUUCACAAAGGCCUUUUGCCAUUUCUUGAAACUCAGCUUCAGCACUAGAUAAUGCUACUAUCUUCUAUUUCUUACUUCUUCAAGUAACCAGAUUGCUUUCUACAAAAUUAAAAUAGGUUGAAUGGACUUUCUAUUAGAAGUAUUCCUGUCCAAUCUGCAUCCGUAUAACCAUCAAUACUCAUAUGAUUAUUCUUUGCGAACAUAAUUCCUUUUCUGAGAGAGACUUUAGAUAGGAAAGAAUUUGAAUCACUGCAUCCAUAUGACUUUUACUUGGGUAAUGCAUUAAUUGGCUUACUACGCUCACAAAGAACAUUUCUUUCGUAUAUUGAUUUUUCUAAAAAAAUAAAAUAAAAAAUUCUUGGAUUCUCAUAAUUCUGUGGCGGUAAACAUUUUUGGUAAGUGGUCCUUUGAUUUGUUUACUCCAAAAGAUAUAGCUAAAAAAUGUAGGAUGCGGUCGCUGAUGAACCCUGAUAAGGCUCUCACCGAAGGCUUUGAAGCUAUAGCUUCAAUAGCAGAUGGUCUAAGCAUCACUCUGGUUGAACGAAAAUCUCUGAGAGGCAGGAGCCUAAACGUUGUAUUGGCUGCUUGCUUGUUCAUUGCCUGCAGAGAGUAAAUCUCCGAGGACGUUAAGGGAGAUAAGUAGGGCCACAGCUGGGGUUUCAGGGAAGGAAAAUAAAAUAGAAGAACAGGGGCUAUAAAGAAGCAUGUGGAGAUUGAUACUGGGACUUUGCAUGCUAGUGAACUUGUUAGACGGUUCUGUUCUAAUCAUGGCAUGAAAAAUCAAGCAAUGAAGUCUGUUAAGAAGCUCUUGAAAACUCCAAAGAUAUUGAUGAGGAACCAAAAUCCACCUUGGUCUUGGCAGCCAUUAUUCAUAUAAUCGCUCAGCUUUCAACCACUUGCAUUGCAUAUCACUGAUUUUAGAAAAGGACACAGAAAAUUGACCAAUCAUAAUCUUUCUUCAAUCAUUACAAAUGGAACUUCCCUUGAAUUGGGAUUUCUUUUGUGUUCUUUAUGGAUUUAACUUAAGGUAGUAAGGAUUUGCAGACAUUGCAAUGGUUGUUGAACUUGAAGUUGCAGAAGAAACAAUCAAGAAGGCAUAUAAAGAUAUGAAUGCUUCAAAGCUCAUAGACAGUUGGUACCCUAAGGAGGUGAACAUCCAAAGAAAAGGCUUGCUUGUCAGUUUAAGUCCAAGUGCCAAUUCUUGAAGUUGAGAUUGGUCAAAAAUGGUGAAACUGCCAAAUGCUACAUAUAUCGCUGACCGGGAAGGCUUUUGAUCACGCCAUUUUAGGCACGAGGAGUCCUCCGGCCAGAACUGUGCUCCUGAAUUCCCUGUAUCGUAGUAAUAAUGGGCCAAUUGGGAGGAGCUUUGGAACCGAAGAAAAUACUUCAGCCUCAAGUUCAUGAAAUGAGUUGCAUAGCUGCCAUUCUAUCAAUUGUGAAUCUUCCAUUGCUCCUUCAACAUAUUUGAAAAGGCCCUUUGUGUGUACGAGUUGCCAACUUUCCAUGUCAAGUUAUCAGUGUAAAAAAUAGGGCCGCUGGGGACAUUUGAAUCAUUUGAUUCUUGAUUGAAUAUCCUGUAAAUGAAUCAAAAGGAAAAUGCAUGCAGAGUACGAGUAGUAACUUUACGUGGAAUAUCAACAACAUCAAGACUUUCUUGUGAUUAAAGAAUAAUAAUAACAAUAAAAGCAAGGGAAGAACUUACCGUCACUGUCGAUAUAUCCAUCUCGAAUAAGAUUAGGAAUGCUGGCUAAUUGGCGAAAAGUGGCAGCUGAUGCAGGCCAGAACAUUGCAACUCGGAUCCCCAAUUUGUCAGCAACUUCUCUUGCCCACCCCAUACAUCCAUCAACUACAAUACAAGUGAUGGGAUGAUUCUUGUUGAUGUCUUCUAUGAGAUCCUGAAUCUUUUUGGGCAUGGUGAUCACCAUGGCCUCGCAUAACUUACCCAAGUCAGUUCUAUCAUCCUCAGGAUCCAUCCCAUCUGGGAUUGAGACCAAAUUAACACAUGAGCCUGUAGGAUCGCUUCUGCCAGCCAUUGCACUAAGCACUCUCCUGAGGUUAAAGUCUGUAUUGACAAAAGUGACUUUGGAUCCAAGGUUGGCUAUUCUCCGAGCAAAGUGCAUGAAGGGGUUAACAUGUCCUUGGGCUGGAAAUGUUAGCACUAGAACAUGUGAAUUUCGCAUUUUCCUUUUUGCGAUUUGAGAAACAGAACAGAGAAAAUGCGGAAUCUUAUCUUCCUCCGUUGGCAAAGAGGCAAAGGAGUGGUUAACAAUUUAUUGGCUCAGAGAGCCCAUCCUCAUUUUUGUAAGUUGCUUAUAACUAAUGAACAUAUAAUGCAGCCUAAAGUUAUAAAUUGGCCUCUCAAAUCAUAAAUCUUAUCUUCUUUUAAUCACAAAAAUAAACCUUUCUGGUAUAAAAUUUCUGUUGAUUUUUUCAUUCAAAAGGAAAAUUAGAAAAGUAAAGUGUUUUUAUUAGUAAACAGAAUCGGAAAUUUAAAUUUUCAUUCAUUAGGCAAAAUUAAAUCCCAUCUGGGAUUGACACCAAAUUAACACAUGAGCCAGCAAGAUCGUUUUUGCCACGCAUUGCACUAAGCACUCUCUUGUGGUUUAAGUCUGUAUUAACAAACGUGACUCGGGAUCCCAGGCUGGCUAUUCUUUGAGCAAAGUGCAUUAAGGGUUAACAUGGCCUUGGACGGGAAAUGGAAGCAUUAGAACAUGUGAUCUUCUUUCUUUUUUUUUUUUUUUUUUNNNNNNNNNNNNNNNNNNNNNNNNNNNNNNNNNNNNNNNNNNNNNNNNNNNNNNNNNNNNAUUAGAGCAAAAGACAAAAGAUGCAACUAUGUGGUAUGUCUACCAUCAGUGCUGUUCGGUGCACAAAUUCAAUACACUGAAAAACAGAAAAGAGAAGGAUUGAAAAAAAAAAAAAGUGGACAAUUGAAUUAUUGAAUGUAUGGGUUCCACUCAUUCCAAUGCAAAUCAAUCAUUUCAGUGCAAAUCAAUCAUUUGUGUACAAUAGCAUUAUUCAUUACUCUAUUAAUUACUUAAAUUAUUACAAAAUAUUUUUUUAAUUAAAUUACUUGUGGAUUUAACAUAUCUAUGAUAAAGUUGUUUUUCAUUACAAUUUUUAGAAAACACAUAUAGAGAUUAUUCAAUGAGAUUAAUUUUAAAGCCCUUAUAUUUAUCCGAUAGAUAAAAAAUAUCGGUUAAUUAUUUAUUAGUACUGAAAGUAAAAUCAAAAUAAAAUUCACUCAAACAUAGCAUAGCAACAAAUAUUACAUAAUUCAAAUGCCAAUUCAAUAGUCUACGAGAACUAAACCAAUAAUCCCUGAAAGGUGGCAUCUUCCCCAACCUAUGCCUCCACCCACUUAAUGAAGUUGCUAAAAUUUGUCGAGGACUGACCACCUUCUCUAAUAUUAUCUUCAGCAAAUUGCUUCAGCUCCAAGGCCUUUUUUAUUGUAAUUUUAUCCCCAAGCAACAGCUCCACCUUUUGUUUAAAUUCCUCCUUUGUUAUGAUUCCCUUUUCGUCCUUGUCUAACCCCAAACCAAUCUUCCAUACAUCACAAAUGUAGCUUUUGUUAACAAACUGGUCGGUGAAGUAAGGCCAACACAAGAAAGGUACUCCAUUGCUCACGCCUUCUAUGGCAGAGUUCCAACCACAAUGGCUCACAAAACAAGCAAUAGCAGGAUGGCUUAGUACCUUCUGCUGAGGAGCCCAACUGAUAAUUUUUCCAUGGCUGUCUUCAAAUUCAUUUGGGUUCGAUUCUUGGGUACUGUUUCCUGGACGAACCACCCAAAGGAAAGGUUUGUUUGUCAGUUUAAGUCCAAGUGCCAAUUCUUGAAGUUGAGAUUGGUCAAAAAUGGUCAAACUGCCAAAUGCUACAUAUAUCACUGACUGGGAAGG